rnacentral:rRNA from 1 species
UACAGAGGUCUCAAGCGUUGUUCGGAUUCAUUGGGCGUAAAGGGUGCGUAGGCGGCGCGGUAAGUCGGGUGUGAAAUCUUGGAGCUUAACUCCGAAACUGCAUUCGAUACUGCCGUGCUUGAGGACUGGAGAGGAGACUGGAAUUUACGGUGGUAGCGGUGAAAUGCGUAGAUAUCGUAAGGAAGACCAGUGGCGAAGGCGGGUCUCUGGACAGUUCCUGACGCUGAGGCACGAAGGCCAGGGGAGCAAACGGG